UAAUACGUAGGGGGCAAGCGUUGUCCGGAAUUAUUGGGCGUAAAGAGCGCGUAGGCGGUCCGAUAAGUCGGCUGUGAAAGUCAAGGGCUCAACCCUUGAAAGCCGGCCGAUACUGUCGGACUAGAGUCCGGAAGAGGCGAGUGGAAUUCCCGGUGUAGCGGUGAAAUGCGCAGAUAUCGGGAGGAACACCAAUGGCGAAGGCAGCUCGCUGGGACGGUACUGAC
rnacentral:rRNA from 1 species